GACGAACGCUGGCGGCGUGCUUAACACAUGCAAGUCGAACGGAAAGGCCCUGUUUUUGUGGGGUGCUCGGGUGGCGAACGGGUGAGUAACACGUGAGUAACCUGCCCUUGACUUUGGGAUAACUUAAGGACACUGGGGCUCAUACCGGAUAGGAGCUCCUGCUGCUUGGUGGGGGUUGGAAAGUUUAGGCGGUUGGGGAUGGACUGGCGGCUUAUCAGCUUGUUGGUGGGGUAGUGGCUUAGCAAGGCUAUGACGGGUAGCCGGCCUGGUCGGGUGACCGGCCACAUUAGAACGGGGAUACGACACGGACUAGAAUGCUAGGCAAGAGUGGAGAAUAGUACAUAAUGGGCGGAAGCCAAGUGUAGUAACGCAGCGUGCGGGAUGUCAGGCUGCGGGUUGUAAUCCACUGCUGCUUUUGACGAAGCGUUAGUGACAGUAAUGGGUGAAGAAGCACCGGCUAACUACGUG
rnacentral:rRNA from 1 species